GUAAAACUGCGAAUGGCUCAUUACAACAGUUAUUGUUUAUUUGAUACAUUAAAUGGAUAACUGUAGAAAAACUAGAGCUAAUACAUGCUUAAGCUGUAAGGCUGUAUUUAUUAGAUAUUCCGGAUUGGUGAAUCAUAAUAACUUCGCAAAUCUCGUUUAUGACGAGAUAAAUCAUCCAAGUUUCUGCCCUAUCAUGCUUUCGAUGGUAGUGUAUUGGACUACCAUUGGCUCGCACGGGUAACAGGGAAUUAGGGUUCGAUUUCUGGAGAAGGAGCCUGAGACACGGCUACUACAUCUACGGAAGGCAGCAGGCGCGUAAAUUACCCAAUCCUGACUCAGGGAGGUGGUGACAAGAUAUAACAACGCGGUUAUUAUCGCGAUUGUAGUGAGGGUAUUCUAAACAGAACCUAUAGUACGAUUAGAGGGCAAGUCUGGUGCCAGCAGCCGCGGUAAUUCCAGCUCUAAUAGCGUAU
rnacentral:rRNA from 1 species